AGAUCCAAUUACUUUUCUUCUCUUUUAGAAAGAAAACAAACAUAACCCCAGGUAUUGUCAUGGUCGGGAGCAGGGAUGAGGCGAGGACUCAAAUGCAGACAGAUAAGAGCAUUUACUAAUCAUAAAAUAUAAACAAAACUACAGCAAAAACUUCCCCAAUCCCACUACUACUACGCCAUCCUGGGCACACCAGCUGAAGACUGUGACAGGUAUUUAUUCAAUACAGUGGCUAAAUUAAUGAAAAAUAAAGCCUCAACAAGUGUUGACAUUUCCCAACAUCACAGCAGUAAUGACUUUAUGAACUACUUUACUUCUAAAAUCGGUACUAUUAGAGAUAAAAUUGCAACCAUUCGGUCGUCAGCUACAGUAUCCCAUCAGACGGUGCACUAUAGAACUGAGGAACAGUUCCACUCAUUCUGUCCUAUAGGAGAGGAAGGAUUGUAUAAACUUGUUAAAUCAUCUAAACCAACAACAUGUAUGUUAGACCCUAUACCAUCUAAGCUCCUAAAAGAGGUGCUUCCAGAAGUCAUAGAUCCUCUUCUGACUAUUCUUAAUUCCUCAUUGUCAUUAGGAUAUGUCCCCAAAACCUUCAAACUGGCUGUUAUUAAGCCUCUCAUCAAAAAACCACAACUUGACUCCAAAGAACUAGUUAAUUAUAGGCCAAUCUCGAAUCUCCCUUUUCGGUCCAAGAUACUAGAAAAGGUGGUAUCCUCACAAUUAUAUUCCUUCUUAGAGAAAAAUUGUAUAUUUGAGGAUUUCCAGUCAGGAUUUAGACCGUAUCAAAGUACUGAGACUGCUCUCCUUAGAGUUACAAAUGAUCUGCUCUUAUCAUCUGAUUGUGGGUGUAUCUCUCUAUUAGUUUUAUUGGAUCUUAGUGCUGCGUUUGACACAACUUACCACAACAUUCUUUUGCAUAGACUUGAACACUUUGUUGGCAUUAAUGGAAGUGCAUUAGCAUGGUUUAAAUUGUACUUAUAUGACCGCCAUCAGUUCGUAGCAGUGAAUGAAGAUGUAUCAUAUCGAUCACAAGUGCAGUAUGGAGUAUCUUAAGGCUCAGUACUAGGGCCGCUACUCUUCACGCUUUAUAUGUUACCCUUGGGAGAUAUCAUCAGGAAACAUGGUGCAAGCUUUCACUGUUAUGCUGAUAAUACUCAGCUCUACAUUUCUUCGCGGCCUGGUAAAACACACCAAUUUGAAAAAGUAAUGGAAUGCAUAGUCAAUAUAAAAAAC
rnacentral:lncRNA from 1 species